UACGUAGGGUGCAAGCGUUGUCCGGAAUCACUGGGCGUAAAGGGCGCGUAGGUGGCCUGAUAAGGGUGUGGUGAAAGUCCGGGGCUCAACCCCGGAUCUGCCGUGCCGACUGUUAGGCUAGAGUACUGUAGGGGCAGGCGGAAUUCCGGGUGUAGCGGUGGAAUGCGUAGAGAUCCGGAGGAAGACCGGUGGCGAAGGCGGCCUGCUGGGCAGUUACUGACACUGAGGCGCGACAGCGUGGGGAGCAAACAGG
rnacentral:rRNA from 1 species